AGGCAUGCAAGAAAGGAUAUAGUUUGCGAUUUUAUUUUGCAAAAUCUCGAUGAUAAUACACUUAUGUUCAUCUCCAACACGCAAGCUGAAAUAAUUGCAAUGUUUAUAGUUAUUAUUACGCACCAGCAUGCUGUAGAGCAAUUAAAUAAGGUACUUAUAUUCGUAAAAACUAAUUUGAAAGAAGAGCGACUAGUUUAUGCUGUUAAAAAAAAAAUUAAAAAACGAAUAGACGAGUAUGGAAGA